UCAUUUUCUAUUUAAGAAUCGUAUACGUUGGCUAUAUUCUUUGCGUCAUCAAUCCCCAGAUGAUGACUUCCCAGCAUUGGUAUUUUCAGCUGCUCCAUCAUCGUCCUCAUUCCUCUCGCCUCUUUUAUUGGGUUAUAAAAAUUUUGAUAAACAUCUUUCAGGUUGAUCCACUCCAUAAAGUAUGAGGGAAGCUUAAUCUUUGACACUUGGCAUUGCCGAGGGAUCUGCGUUUUCACAUCCCAAUUUCCACAAGUUACAAAUGCUGCUUGAUUAAGAAAUCCACCAUGCUUUGGUUCCCACAAAUGGUGAUGAGUCAACCAAGCUUCAAAUUGUUGAAUAACUUCAUUAAAUGGGAGAGCUGUGUCAUGCCACACACGAUCAACUCCAAACUUGCCAUAUUUGUUUUCAAUAUAUUCAUUUAUUCUUUGUUCGGUCAUAGCUGAGGGCCUGACAAACCUUGGUGCAUUUGCCUUGUGUAUAAUACAAGCACAUGGGUCUCCAGCGGUAACUAGCAUCAGGAAUAGCAGAAGGCGUAGAAGAAUGAGGAACUGAAGGAGAGAAACUACACUGGGUAUAAGUUGCAGGGAAAUUAAGGAAUGGACGGAAUGUCUGGUAUGCCGGUUUUGGUGGAGUUUCGAAGAUUGGGAUGAUGCUUCCGCGGAAGGAGGAAACC
rnacentral:misc_RNA from 1 species